rnacentral:lncRNA from 1 species
AGUUAUUUUACAUACGAUUAACAUACACCCUAUUGAAGAGCUUGUAUGAUGUGUUGUUUCUUAUUGAUGUGGACAUUUAUACCAACGAUUGAACAUAUGGACUGUUGAAGAUGCUCUUAGAGAUGCGUCCCUACGGGUUGUUCUCUUGAAAGAGUUUGUCCAUAAAUGUUUUCAACAGUUGCAACAUCAAGGGGCCCAGGCAAGGCAACCUAUUCCUGUUCUCCGAGCUCUCCACCCUCACCCUCCGGGCCCCAGUAGACGUCAACCAACAUGAGGCACCGUCGCCACUCGCCGCGCCAUUCAUAGUACGCAGCCUGGACAUCUCCAUGCAUGAAAUUGGCUUCUGGGAUAAGCGUAUCUUUUAUUUUCUUUUGAUCCUAGUACCUAAAGCAUGAACACUAUCUCAGUUAGUUGGGCUCAAUCAUCCAGUAGUUAUUAUGCUGAUAAAUUUAUCUCAGGAGAAACAGAUCAGCGCACCUAGAGAAUAAGAAUCAAGCAGGAAGCUAACACGCCCGUGAAGGGAGAUGUUGGGCUUGCGGUUAGCACCGCACACACGCGCAUGCACCUCGCGGACAGCUAGCUCCUCUCGAAACUCAAUGCAGCGCGCAACUGCAUGCACACGAGCUAGCGAUCGAUGACGAGGAUAUGCGCGCAAAGGCCGGGAGGUGACCAUCGACAAAUGUGCUCCUAAUCAUAUAUGCGCUC